rnacentral:lncRNA from 1 species
AAAUACUAAAAAAAAAAAAAAAAAAAGAAAAGCUCCCUGGCUGGGCAUGAUGACUCACACCUGUAAUCCCAGCACUUUGGGAGGCCGAGGCAGGCAGAUCACUUGAGGCCAGGAGUUCAAGACCAGCCUGGCCAACAUGGCGAAACCUGGUCUCUACUGAAAAAAAAAAAAAAAAAAAAAAAAAGUAACCGGACGUGGUAGUGCACGCAUGUAGUCCCAAAUGCUGGGGAGGCUGAGGCAUGAGAAUCGCAUAACCCCAGCGGCAGAGGUUGCAGUGAGCUGAGAUCACACCACUGCACUCCAGCCUGGGCAACAGAGUAAGACUCUGCCUCAAAAAAAAAAAAAGAAAAAGAUCAGAAAAGCUCUCUGCCCUCCCUCUAUUUGCCUAAAAACAGGACAAAAGUUUGUUAAGAUAUCCUCCCUCCCCUCUCUACCGCAAAGGACAGAAAUUAAUCACUGGAAACAAUGCUAGACCCUUAGCCUACAGGGCACCAGAGGAAUCGACAUAGUAAACCUCAUUAACUAGCCCUUAUCCUACAUUAGUUUUUCCCAUGUAUUUGCCUGUGCACAUUUUACUAGAAGCUCAAAGUCCUUUUCCUUUGUCUUGUCACUUUCUAAAACUUUAUUUUCUUUUUGUUAAGAUGCUCUUUAACCCCACUUUGUAACCAUCCCUUGGAGUUACUCAUCACUGGGUGCUCCCGUGGGUAUGUGCAAUGCCCACAUUAAUAAACUUCUGUUUGUUUCUCUCUUGUUAAUCUGCCUUUUGCCAAUCUAAUUUACAGGGCCCCAGCUGGAAAACCUAAGAUGGGUAGAGGAAAGAGACUUUUUUUCCUCUCCCCUAAGAAGUAAAGAAAACAUCGGGCAAGCCCAAACUGAGGGACAUUCUACAAAAUACCUAACCAGUACUUCUCAAAACUCUCAAGGUCAUAAACAACAAAACAAAAAGACUGAUAACAACUGUUACAGACCAUAAGAUACUAAGGAGAUAUGGCAGAUAAACAUAAUGUGAUACCCUGGAUUUUACAUUGGAACAGAAAAAGGACAUCAUGAAAAACCUGGUGAAAUCUGAAUGAAGUCUACAGUUCAGCUAAUAGCACUGUGUCAAUGUUAACUUCAUUUUUCCUAAAUGUAACACAGCUAGCAAGGCAAGAUGUUAACAAUGAGGGAAAACUGGAUGAAGGAUGUAUGGGACCUCUAUCCUAUUUUGCAACUUUUAUUCCAAAAUAAAAA